CAUGUAGGCGGAUUAAUAAGUUUGAAGUGAAAUCCUAUAGCUUAACUAUAGAACUGCUUUGAAAACUGUUAAUCUAGAAUGUGGGAGAGGUAGAUGGAAUUUCUGGUGUAGGGUAAAAUCCGUAGAGAUCAGAAGGAAUACCGAUUGCGAAGGCGAUCUACUGGAACAUUAUUGACGCUGAGAUGCGAAAGCGUGGGGAGCAAACA
rnacentral:rRNA from 1 species